UACCAAAUAUGGUAAUGGCCCUCGGCUAAACACAGAGCCAAUCCGCCAUUUUUUCUUCUCGCUAAGAUUUUUUGUAGUCCUAUUGGAAAAAUGCAGAAUGUCUGGUUAUUUUAGCCACACACAGCUCAAAACUGUUCCUCGUUUUAAGGAAGGGUGGUGUGGCAGUAUUUAAACCCAGGAGCUGAUGACACUACUGCUAAAAAAACACAGAAGAAAAAGUAGUGUGUUUGUGUGUGUGUGUGUGUGUGUGUGUGUGUGUGUGUGUGUGUGUGUGUGUGCGUGCGCGCGUGGUUCGUUCGUUCUGUCUCCAGGCUAGUGGCUAAGUACUGAGGGCUUCAUCUAUCUAAAAGGAGUUAUUUCCAUCUGAAUUUGGCAGCACCGGGACACAGCAGCAGAGCGAGUCCACAUCCAGAAGACUGGAGCCGUGUUUCACUGACAGGCUGUCAGACUAACGCCCUGAUGAGCUCAGCUGGGACAAACUGGUCUGAUGUUUAGGAACACAGAACGUUCAGAUGUUGGCGUUUCACGUCACCUACUGAGGAAGGAGACCCACCAGUAAAGAGACGGUCUGGACCAGACCAAAAAUAUGGCGAUGACAUCAUGGAACUGGUCUUUGGAAAAGUUUUCCCUGAACCAACUCCGUUUCUAGAUGAGGUAGAGAAGAUCUGCAUCUCACCAACCCUCUGGUCUCAGUAUUCAGACAACGGAGGUCUCCCACUGUUAUCCAGGACCAGUUUGAAGCCCACAUACUGCCCCUCCCUCAUCAUCAGGAAACAUCAAUCCGUUUCCUGAGGACAACAGAAGACGGCAGGAGGACAGGAACUCUGAGACCUAGACACCACCAGCACCGAGACACAAAGCACCUGUGUGCACAACGCCUGUUUAACUACUAAAGCCUGAUUAUUAUAUUGUUCUACUUAUUUGCUGUGAGGUUAAUACUUAGAAAAUUUGUAUAUUAAUGUAAACAAUAAAAAAAAAUCACUGAUUGUAUGCUUUCUUUUAGAUGUAAUGGUCCAAACUCAGCCUUGUAGACAUUUAUUGCAUCCUGUAGGUAAAUACACAGAACAGGCUCAGGUCCAGGAUGACCCAACAUGCUCUUCUUCCAUUCUGGCUGUUAGGGAUUGUAUCAAUAACUCAAUGCCUACUGAUGUUUCCACCUAACGGUAUUUAUUUAGAAUGCAGGUAAGAUUUAACUAUAUUUGUUAGCAAAGCAGACUGAUCUUGGGAAUUUCACUGCAGCACUGAUGUCCACCUCUCUGUACACAUUAGAGAGAAUUACCACUUUACAGCUAAACACAUUUAAUAAAGAUAUAGGCUACGCAUUGCAGACAAUAAAAACAAAGUUGUAAGCAUUAGAAUUAUAAUGAUGACAUUAAAGAACACUUGGAGGAAUGUUCUUUAUUUUUGACUAGAAUCUCAAAUCUUUAAAUUAAAAUGUAACUGCUUUUUAUCCAUUUUCAGCCAUUAAGACACCCAAUAUAAAAUAAGACUACUUAUAAAAUUAUUUAUAAUUAUAUGUAUGUAUAUAGAUAGAGAUCUUAAUAAAAUAUAUUCUUUGAA